rnacentral:rRNA from 1 species
CCUACGGGUCGCACCAGUGGGGAAUAUUGCACAAUGGGCGCAAGCCUGAUGCAGCCAUGCUGCGUGUAUGAAGAAGGCCUUCGGGUUGUAAAGUACUUUCAGCGGGGAGGAAGGCGAUAAGGUUAAUAACCUUGUCGAUUGACGUUACCCGCAGAAGAAGCACCGGCUAACUCCGUGCCAGCAGCCGCGGUAGUACGGAGGGUGCAAGCGUUAAUCGGAAUUACUGGGCGUAAAGCGCCCGCAGGCGGUCUGUUAAGUCGGAUGUGAAAUCCCCGGGCUCAACCUGGGAACUGCAUUCGAAACUGGCAGGCUAGAGUCUUGUAGAGGGGGGUAGAAUUCCAGGUGUAGCGGUGAAAUGCGUAGAGAUCUAGAGGAAUACCGGUGGCGAAGGCGGCCCCCUGGACAGAGACUGACGCUCAGGUGCGAAAGCGUGGGGAGCAAACAGGAUUAGAUACCCGGGUAGUC